ensembl:lincRNA Gm28703 predicted gene 28703
UGGCAGUGCAGUGACACAGGCUGGCGAUAUCACUACGGAGCACGAACUUCUUAUGAGACAGACAGAGAAAACCUUUUCAGAACCAUGGCAAGCCAAGAAGAAGCAAAGAGAAUGUAUGUGCCAGACAUGGCUUGCAAACUCCCAAUAUGAGCACCUGCUGUCGACAUUUGGAGAUCCACCCUAAAGACAAGUGCGAAGCCAUGAGGAAUAAACUGACAUAGGAACCCUGUUUUGUUAAUAUUUUUUAAAAUGAUAUAUCUGACUAACUACAUCUGCUUCUCACCAAGGUUUCGAAAAUGGUUUACAAACACAGGAGUCAUUUUUUAACAGGGUUAUAGUGAAACAAUUGGGACUGGAUCAUGAUCAUUCUCAAGCUUGAAAUGAUUGACGUAGAGAGCCUGAGAGAUAUGGAACUAAGAUAUGGUCUAAGGAGUGAUAUGUUUAAUUGAAUAUACGUAUUUAGAAUGUUGUGUAAAGAUACAGGUGUGUAUACACACACACACACACACACACACACACACAUGCAGGUUUGGAACCUCACCUUUGAGAUUUCACUGCUUCCCGUUGGACUUUAUACCAUAGCAAAUGUGUGAAUGUGAAAAUUUCUCCUCCUUCUCUUAGUAUCUUAGCAAGAAUUUCUACUUCAGUGCUUUCUGGAAUGAUUCCUUCAGGUGUAAACUUACGAUUUUUAGAGUUUUUCAAAAUCAAGCAUCUAAGAAAUGUAACAUCUGAACAAUGGAAGUUUUUCAGUGGAAGUAUUGUUUGGACUUUUUUUUCCAGGAUUUUUGUUUCUUACCAUGCAAAGUGUUCCUCAAAACAACUGAAAUGCAACAGAUAAGGGGUGUGUAGAUCAUUCCAAAAUACUAAGAAACCAGAGCUUCAUGUCUAAGAGUUUCCAUAAACUUGGUGGUGUUUAUGAGCCUAGGAAGCUGUGCUGGCUGAGUUGUACACCUGUUGAAAUAAGGACAUUGGCUCCCCACAAGAGUCUCUUGAUUUAGAAAAUAACAGUUCAUGUUAUCAUCCACUGUAAAGUAAACGAUACUGUGACAUUUUACACUUGAUUUUGGAAGCCCAUGAGGAUAACAGCACUCAGCUGUUUACAAUGACUGUUUUCUCCUCAAAUGUAUCCAGAGGUUUGCUUUGAACCAUAGGAAGCUAUUAACAAUUUUGGAACAAUUUUGGCC